UGUAAUAAGUAAUAACAAAUCAUAUGUGAAUUCAUGAUCUAGUCACUUGACACAGGCAUCAAACUUUUGAUAUCACUAAUCUAGUCACUUGGAGAAGUGUAGCAACCUCUGCAAAUUUGGGAGUCUUGUACUCCAGCUGCUGCAGAGAAUUCUAUCAAGCUAUUUCCACCAUGGUCUUUAAUGCAACCACCCACCCUGAGAAACCUGUGUUCCCAAAUGGGCAAACAUCAAAAUCCAACAUGCUGCAAACAUCAAUUUUAUUUUAUUUUUUUGUUCUGAUGUCCAUAUAUUGUUUGCCAAUGUGGAUUUUGACAUGUGCACCCAACAUGACAUUUUUUAGAUGUAUGGAGUGUUGUUCAAGCACAAGUUUUAUAUUGGGUCAUUGCUUCAUUCUACUGAUCUUUAACAUUCAGUCCACAUGUUUCUUCUUCAUUAUGUUUUACACAGCUGGGAUUGCUUUGUCAUAAUGCAUGAUGUUGUUGGUUUUCAUUUGUUGUAGGUCAUGUGUCCUAUAUGCCUUUGCACGGGGAUGGCAAUGGCUAGCGAGCAUGAUCCUUGAAUUGACCCCUUCAAUUAGAGGUGCAUUGCAUCAUUGUGUCUCUUGCCAUCAGCUGAAAAAUGAAAAUGUCCUGUUAGUUGCAUCUUCAAGCUGGUUGUAAGUGUUCCUGUACAUAACUUAUGGCGUACCUGAAAGAGUCAUGUCUUUGCAUAUCUAGCAUGCACUGAUUAAUGUUACUUAGAUGUCCAAAUCUUAUGCUUACAAUGCUUAGAAGAUUGCUGACAGAAACAUUGUACCUGCCCCGGCUGAUGGCAUAAGCUUGCAUGAAUCUCCU